rnacentral:ncRNA from 2 species
CAACGCAGCACGGGAGAGAUCGUCCCCAGCGGACGACGCCGACGGAGCAACCGCCCCGGAAACUCUCAGGCAAAAGGACCGUGCAGCUGGA